CCACAGCAAUUACUCAGAAGGUGACUUUAACUCGUUUUGAUAAAUAUGCUUCCUGGGACUCUCAGGUGGGUUAUCUUAAGCAUUUUUACCUCUGAGCCUGAAGUUAGGUGUUUUGUUAAAUUGCCGUUAAGAGAGUGUAGUUACAGGAACAGAUUUUUGCUGUUUAAUGUUACUUUAGUAGCUUCGUGCCAAACUUCCUUGCCAAAGAAACUAGCCCAAAGUAAAGGUCACUGCUUUGAAGAGUGAGUGAUGAUAAUAACUGUAUUUGUAUUGCCCUUGAUAUUUGAAAAUGGCUCUUCUGGCUAAUUGUGUGGCGUGACUAAAAAGUCAAAGGUAGGAUCUGUAGCUUAAUUCGGCACAAUUGCUGCCUGUUUGCCUUGACCACUGGUGACCACUGUUUCCUUAAUGUUAUACAAAGUGUCCCUUAUUUUUUUUCCUCUUCCUUGAAUCUGGCUCACAAGGUUUCUUUAUGUGGGUUCGGAGGCCUUUCUGCUACAGUCAUGCUAAAUUCUUUACAUCUUCUUGCAAGUUUUAAAAAACGUGUCCGCACUUUGGACUUCUAGCCGCCCGACACAACAGUAGGACCCGCUGCCAUUGCUUAGGAGGUGGUAUGUACUAAUCAAUCUUCAGUCACAUUCUUUAAGGCAUGGGUGACAGGGCAUGCUUUAUAAAUGAGGAAAUGGGAGAGAAAUUUACAAGAUGUUAAGUAACAUCAUCAGGCGAUACACAGACAUCAAUGACAAAAUCAGUAUUUCAACAUAGUCCUUGUGUACUAGAAGAUGCAGAGCCUUUGCCGGAUGUCCCAGCCACAUGAAAAUCCUUUCCACCUCUAGGGAAAGGAAACCUUGUCUUCAACUCAGCAAACAUUUUUGGAAGGUCUACUGCAUGUCAAACAGCAUGAUUGACUUUGGGGAUCAAGCAGCCAAUGGAGAAAAAUACAAUCUCUCUUUCAAGAAAUCUGUCGUCAAGUAAGGGGUCGAAAUUAUCAUGAAAGGGCUCAGCAGGGGAAAAUGCUCUCUCAGCCAGGCUAAGGAAACGUUUAAUGGGAGACAUUGCUUUUGCAUAAGGCCUGGAAAUACAAAUGGGGUUUUUAUGGGUUUAUGUGUCUCCCCCGCCCCCCAAAUUCAUAUAUUAAAGUCCUAACCCCCAGUACCUUACAGUGUGCCUUAUCUGAAAAUAGGGUUUUUGCCCAUGUAUCCAAGAUUAGAUGAGCUCAUUAGGGUGGGCUCUAAUCUAAUAUGGUUGGUGUCCUUAUAUAAGGGGGAAAUUUGGACAGAGACACAGGGAGAAUGCCAUAUAAAGAUUGGAUCUAUGCUGCCACACCUAAGGAAUAUUGGCAGCAGCCGCCAGGAACUAGGAAAGAGGCUCAAACAGAUUCUCCCUCACAACCCUCAGAAAACAAAAAACAAAAACAAAAAAUUCUUUCAAAUACACUUCUGAAAAUUUGGUAACCUUGAUUUUGGAUUUCUAGCCUCCAAAACUGCGAGACAAUACUUUUCUGUAAUUUAAGCCACCCAAUCUGUGGUAUUUCAUUAGUGCAGCCGUGGUAAACUAGUACAAGGGUGUUGACAAGAUAAUAGUAAGGGCGAUAAAGAAAUGCUUUAUUUAUUUGAGUUGUAGGAGGAAAAAAAAGCAAAAUAUGAAGAUUAGGAAAUACCUGUAUGAGGAAGCAGUGAGGAUCCUCUAAACGUAUUUUCACUGAGUAGCAAAGUGGCAUUUUUGGAAUUGUACUUUGGGAAAAUUCAACUUAUAGGUAGAAAGACAAAGAACAGAUUUAGCUCGCCCUGAAAUUUUUUGUAGGUGAAAGUCAGCAAGACAAAAGGAUGCUUGAUUUGAGAAGAGUCUUUAAAACUGGACUUUCUUUAACGAUGUAACCAACUCUAAUCCUUAUAUUUGCAGAUACGGGAAGAAGCCCCAGUCAUUUUGCUGGAGUUUUUGGAACUAGGAAUAAUGAUGCAAUAUGUUAGCUCAAGAGAAGAAACGUUUUAGAAAUGCUCUUUCUCUUCCCACCUGUUGGUAGGUAGAAAAAACCCUACUUAGUGAAAUCAGCAGAUUUCAGUUUAAGGGUCAGCUCUUUGAUAAACUAACUACAGAACCGGUUCGGGAAAUUUCUCCAGGUGUCUGUCAUUUUCUCCCUUCCCUGCCCCACCCACUCCCUCCCUUAUUUUCCUUCCUCCCUUUCCUUUGAAAGAAAGUGGUGCAUGCAGUGGUAGUUACGUCCCUUUGGCUAGCAUACAAGUCUCUUGGAGGAAUGUGCUGUUUGGAUUUCUCUUCAUUCAACCUUGCCUACCUGACCAAUCCUGUCUUUCCUUUAAGGUCUAAAUAACUUGAGUACCUCAUGGACAGAUCUUGGAACGUCUCCUUCUAUCACAGUCCUGGAGGACCAACCAUCUGCAGGAGUUUUCACCGUGAAGGUUAAUUAUCGAGGCCUCAUUAACAAGAACCUGAGAGGAGGACAAGGGGCCAGGAAUAUAAGCUCAGUUUUUUUUGAGGAACCUCAUACACUUCUCCACAGGGACUGUACCAGU